rnacentral:ncRNA from 1 species
UCGGUUCCGCCGCCCCCGCGCGGUGGAUGAAAAGGGAACACGGUACGGCACAUGCCAAAUCCGUGGCUGCCCCCGCAACUGUAGGCGGAGAGCGCGGCUGAACAUGCCACUGGGGCGACCCGGGAAGGCCAGCCAAGCAGAGACCCGCGAGCCAGGAGACCUGCCGAAGUG